rnacentral:rRNA from 1 species
CGUAGGGGGCGAGCGUUGUCCGAAGUUACUGGGCGUAAAGCGCGCGUAGGCGGGGGGUUAAGUGAGAGGUGAAAGGCUGGGGCUCAACCUCAUGCAGUGCCUCUCAUACUGGCCUUCUUGAGGGCGGUAGGGAGAAGUGGAAUGGCUGGUGUAGCGGUGAAAUGCGUAGAUAUCAGUCGGAACACCGGUGGCGAAGGCGGCUUCUUGGGCCGUUCCUGACGCUGAGGCGCGAAAGCUGGGGGAGCGAACGGGAUUAGAUACCCCGGUAGUCCCAGCCGUAAACGAUGGAUACUAGGUGUCGGGGGUAUCGACCCCCCCGGUGCCGCAGCUAACGCAUUAAGUAUCCCGCCUGGGGAGUACGGCCGCAAGGUUG